rnacentral:tRNA from 1 species
CAGGUAUAGUUCAUCGGUAGAACACUUGCUUCCCAAGCAAGAUAGGAGGGUUCGACUCCCUUUACCUG